rnacentral:rRNA from 1 species
AUCCCCUCGGGGAAUGAGGGAAAAGGGGGGCGCAAGCCUCUCGCACGAAGAUGAGCUCGCGGUCCAUUAGCUAGUUGGCGGGGUAAUGGCCCACCAAGGCGAUGAUGGAUAGCUGGUCUGAGAGGACGAUCAGCCACACUGGGACUGAGACACGGCCCAGACUCCUACGGGAGGCAGCAGUGGGGAAUCUUGCGCAAUGGACGAAAGUCUGACGCAGCAACGCCGCGUGAGUGAUGAAGGUCUUUGGAUCGUAAAAGCUCUUUCGGGAGGGAAGAAAUGGUUGUGCGCUAAUACCGCAUAGCCUUGACGGUACCUUCAGAAGAAGCACCGGCUAACUCUGUGCCAGCAGCCGCGGUAAUACAGAGGGUGCAAGCGUUGUUCGGAAUCAUUGGCGUAAAGCGAGUGUAGGCGGUCGAAAAGGUCGGGUGUGAAAUCCAGGGCUUAACCCUGGAACUGCAUUCGAAACCGUUCGUACUGAGUACGGGAGA